AGCUUCGCAGUAUGAGACGCUAACCUUACUGUGUGGAAAGACUCUCAUCAGCAGCAUGCGAGUAUGAAACGAUAACCUUCAUAGAUGGGAAGACUCUCAUCAAGUAUCAAGAUUACACUUUCUCAUUUACUGGACCAAAACGCAGCCACGGGAAAAAAUUAUAUCUACGAUGUUCCAAGCAUCAGAGCACUGAUUGUAAAGCAAGUUUAAAGUUAAACACAUCAGGAGAAAUAUUAUGGGCUAAAGUUGAACACAAUCAUGUUCGGCCAUUACUAACAAAAAUAUCGGACGGGAGAUACGUUUAUAUUCGUAAUUAAAGUAGUCGUUAGUGCCAGAUUUAGGUUUAGUAUUAUAUUAUCGUUUAGGAAUUUUUAUAAAAAAAGGAAUUUUAUGUCAAAAUUUGAAUGAAUGAUAAUGUGGAGGAAUAACAUUAAUAGUAAGUAUAAUUAAAUGUAAAAGUAGGUAAAUAAAAUCCGGCCAAGUGCGAGUCGGACUCACGCACCAAAAAAACCGAUUUUUUAUUGUGUGGUCACUUUGAAACUUAUCAUCAUGAUCGAAUGAUAAUGUGAAGGAAGAACAGUUCAUAAAUAUAAUGAUAUGGCGGGGUAUAACGCAUUUCAUUAAAGAAACGAAUCUUAAAUGGCGGCGCUUAUCAUUCCCUCUCGCACACGGCCGUACGGCAUGCAAAAAAAAUAGGGAAAAGUAAAAUAACUAAAAUGUAUUUGAUUUUCCCUAUAAUUAUUUUUAUCAUAAAUUAACAAUGACAAUUAUGUAUUUAUUUAUUUAUUGAUUCCAUUACAAGUAAUUGACAGGUUUACAAUUUGCGAUAAGAAAUAAUGUUUUAUUGGAAUUUGACAUAAUAUGUUCUUUGGGAAAAGUUGUUCAGUUUAAUGGGCUCAUUACGAGUAUUAUGGAGAUUUUAAUUUGGAAUACACAAACACCACAAAAAAAGUUUGUGAACAAACAAAUUGAAAUAAUUAAUAAAAUAAUUAUCCAUUUACGUUAUUUUUAUUUUCUUUUUUGCUGACCCUACCAUAUGUCAGUCUCAGCUUUGGCCGCCAUUCAAGAUUCGUUUCUUGAAUGAAACGCGUUAUAAAUAUUAUAUAAAAUAUUUUCAGCAACAUACGAGUAUGAAACGAUAACCUUCGUAGAUGGGAAGACUCUCGUCAAGUAUCAAGAUUACACGUUCUCGUUUACUGGACCGAGAUACAGAAGUGGGAAUAAAUUAUAUCUACGAUGUUCCAAGCAUAGGAGCAAUUGUAAAGUCCGACUAAAGCUGAAUACAUCAGGAGCAUUAACAAAACUGGCUAAUGUUGAACACAAUCAUGAUCCGCCAUUAUUAAGGAAAUUAUCGGACGGGAGAUAUUUUAAAAUUCAGUAGUCGUUAGUGUCACGUUUUGGUUUAUAUCGUUUGCACUAAAGAAGUUUAAUAAAAAAAUGUAAAUUUGAUUCAAUGAUAAUGUGAACGAACAGAAAUAGGAAGUAUACUUAACUAAAUGUUAAAAUAAUUUAAAAGAAUUAUUAUUCAUACCACCCAUACCUAUAUUUAGUCACGGUGGGUUAUUGUGAACAGGGUAAUUGUAAACAACUAACAAGAUUAUUUUUCUAUAAUCGGUCCGAUUAAUUUCCAAACGUGGGAAAAACCAAUAUCGGAUCUAUAAUAUGAAAUUUUUUCCUUGUUUACAAUUACCCACAUUGGCCCUACCCAUAUUCAUAAAAUAAAAUAGUUGAAUUUGAAUAUUUACAGCAGCUUCCCAAUAUGAGACGCUAACCUUAAUGAGUGGAAAGACUCUUAUCAAGUAUCAAGAUUACACAUUCUCAUAUAAUGGACCGAGAGACAGUCACGGAAAUAGAUUAUAUUUGUAUUGUUCUAAGUAUAAGAGCAAGUGUAAAGCACGACUGAAAUUAAACAAGGCAGGAGAAAUAAUAAUGGCUAAUGUUGAACACAAUCAUGUUCCGCCAUUACUAAAGAAAUUGUCGAACGGGAGAUAUCUUAAAGUGAUGUAGUGUUAAGUGUAAAAUUUUGUCACCGUAUGUCUUUUUAAAUAGGGAAUUUUAUGAAUAAAAACUUGCGUAUGUCAAAUUUAUUUUAAUACUGCAGUGAAAUCCUCAUGUUGUUCCCAAAAUUCAUUGGGAGCUCGAAUACCGCCACAGUAUUACAAUAUUAUUGUUAUACUUUGCUACCGUAGCCAGGAAUAGGGCUGCCGGAUACUAGGGGCCUGGUUUGUCCUGAAUAAGUAAUUCCAAUUAAUUGUUAUAGUAGCUGACUUAACAGAUGUUUUCCUGUCUUCGUGUGAACUGUUAAAAAAUAAUGAUUGGAUUUUUAUUGAAAUUCUCUACUACUACGCUACACUUAGCAGUAACUAUUAAUGUAAGUAAUUAAUUUAAUAUGGAUAUUUUUGGACUAUUUAGAUAAAAUAAUAAAUUUUUAUAGUAAAAAAAUGAUACAUGAAUUAUCGGGUAGGAUAUGACUGGGUUAACUGUCUAACAUCAAAAUUGUACCGAUAUGAAUAAAAUAAAAUAUUAUUUUUUGAAUAUUUUCAGCAGCAUGCCAGUAUGACACAAUAACCUUGAUAGAUGGGACGACGCUCAUCAAGUAUCAAGAUUACACAUUCUCAUUUACUGGACCGAGAGACAACCACGGGAAUAAGUUUUAUCUUGCUUGCUCAAAGUAUAGAAGCAAUUGUAAAGCACGACUAAAAUUAAAUAAGGCGAAAAAAAUAGUAGCGGGUACUGUUGUACACAAUCAUGUUCCACCAUUACUAAAGCAAUUAUCGAACGGGAGAUAUAUUAAAAUUAAAUAGUAUUUUAAGAUCCAACGGAAGUUAAAACAUCGAUACGAAUUCAGUACUCGUACGUUUAGUAAGGCUCCUAAAAUGAAACACAAAUAUAACUGAAGGUGUUGUCGGUA